rnacentral:rRNA from 1 species
UACGGAGGGAGCUAGCGUUGUUCGGAAUUACUGGGCGUAAAGCGCACGUAGGCGGCUUUGUAAGUUAGAGGUGAAAUCCUGGAGCUCAACUCCAGAACUGCCUUCGAUACUGGCGAUCUUGAGUCCGGAAGAGGUGAGUGGAACUCCUAGUGUAGAGGUGGAAUUCGUAGAUAUUAGGAAGAACACCAGUGGCGAAGGCGGCUCACUGGUCCGGUACUGACGCUGAGGUGCGAAAGCGUGGGGAGCAAACAGG